GGGCCACAGCACUACCGACCGGAAGUCGCUUUCUAGUUGGUAGAUAACGCGCAGGUUUCGGGUGUGAGGUGGCUCGAAGAGCUCUUUGAUGGCGGUACAUUCCUCUACUUUCCAGAUGUGUUUCUGUCUUAUGGAGUGGAAGGGAGAGAGAGAGAGAGAGACGCCUUGAGAAAUGUGUUCUGUAGUCUCCAAAUACUUUCUAAGUCAAGUGUGAUGGCUUGAACAUGUAACCCCAGCUAAACUGAAUCCUUGUUUCGUUUCGCCUGGGACACACAGGCGGAAGAAGUGCCAUGAGUCGUAGGCCAACGUGGGACGCAGUGCGAGACCCUGGACAGGAGUCUAGCAUGGCUAUCAUCUGAGAGGCCCUGUCAGCAGCUGACUGAGACAGAUGCAGAUACAUACAGCUUACCAUUGGACUGAGGUUUGGACCCCUGUGGAAGAGUUAGAGGAAGAAUUGAAGGAACUGAAGGGGAUGUCAACCCCAUAGGAAGGCCAACUGUAUCAAGUAACCUGGUCCCCUGGGUGCUCCCAGAGACUAAGCCACCAGCCAAAGACUGUACAUGGGCUGGUCCCCCCCACCCCGGCAUAUAUGUAGCAGAGGACUGCCUUGUCUGGCCUCAGUGGGAGAGGAUGGGCCUAAACUUGUAGAGACUUGAUACCCUAGGGAAGGGGGAUA